rnacentral:misc_RNA from 1 species
AACCUUAUGGACCUGCGGGCGUAUACCUGCGGAAGGAUCAUUACAGAGUUCAUGCCCUCACGGGUAGAUCUCCCACCCUUGAAUACUAUACCUUUGUUGCUUUGGCGGGCCGCUUUGGCUACUGGCUCUGGCUAGUAAGUGCCCGCCAAAGAACCCCAAAACUCUGAAUAUUAGUGUCGUCUGAGUACUAUAUAAUAGUUAAAACUUUUAGCAACGGAUCU